GUGAGGAAUAUUGGUCAAUGGACGAAAGUCUGAACCAGCCAAGUAGCGUGCAGGAUGACGGCCCUAUGGGUUGUAAACUGCUUUUAUACAGGGAUAAAGUGAGCCACGUGUGGUUUUUUGUAGGUACUGUAUGAAUAAGGACCGGCUAAUUCCGUGCCAGCAGCCGCGGUAAUACGGAAGGUCCGGGCGUUAUCCGGAUUUAUUGGGUUUAAAGGGAGCGCAGGCUGAUGAUUAAGCGUGACGUGAAAUGUAGCCGCUCAACGGCUGAACUGCGUCGCGAACUGGUUAUCUUGAGUGAGUUCGAUGUUGGCGGAAUUCGUGGUGUAGCGGUGAAAUGCUUAGAUAUCACGAAGAACUCCGAUUGCGAAGGCAGCCAACAAGGCCUUUACUGACGCUAAAGCUCGAAGGUGCGGGUAUCGAACAGG
rnacentral:rRNA from 1 species